rnacentral:lncRNA from 1 species
CUUCAAGGAGAAAGUUUCUUCAAACCGGAGAAGAACAGGUUUCAGUCUGUAGUACAGGUAGAAGAGUCUGUACAGGUGUUCUCCACAGGUGUUCUGUUCUGUAGUUCUGUUCUGGUGUUCUGUUCAGGAGUUCUGUUCAGGUGUUCAGGUGUUCUGUUCAGGUGUUCUGUUCUGGUGUUCUGUUCAGGUGUUCUGUUCAGGUGUUCUGUUCUGGUGUUCUGUUCAGGUGUUCUGUUCAGGUGUUCUGUUCAGGUGUUCUGUGUUCUGUUCUGUUGUUCUGUUCAGGUGUUCUGUUCUGGUGUUCUGUUCAGGUGUUCUGUUCAGGAGUUCUGUUCAGGAGUUCUGUUCUGGUGUUCUGUUCAGGUGUUCUGUUCUGGUGUUCUGUUCUGGUGUUCUGUUCAGGUGUUCUGUUCUGGUGUUCUGUUCAGGUGUUCUCUGCAGGUGUUCUGUUCAGGUGUUCUGUUCAGGUGUUCUCUGCAGGUGUUCUGUUCAGGUGUUCUGUUCAGGUGUUCUGUUCAGGAGUUCUGUUCUGGUGUUCUGUUCAGGUGUUCUCUGCAGGUGUUCUGUUCAGGUGUUCUGUUCAGGUGUUCUCUGCAGGUGUUCUGUUCAGGUGUUCUGUUCAGGAGUUCUGUUCAGGUGUUCUCUGCAGGUGUUCUGUUCAGGUGUUCUCUGCAGGUGUUCUGUUCAGGUGUUCUGGUGUUCUGUUCUGUUGUUCUGUUCAGGUGUUCUGUUCUGGUGUUCUGUUCAGGUGUUCUGUUCUGGUGUUCUGUUCAGGUGUUCUGUUCUGGUGUUCUGUUCAGGUGUUCUGUUCAGGAGUUCUGUUCUGGUGUUCUGUUCAGGUGUUCUGUUCAGGUGUUCUCUGCAGGUGUUCUGUUCAGGUGUUCUGUUCAGGAGUUCUGUUCAGGUGUUCUCUGCAGGUGUUCUGUUCAGGUGUUCUCUGCAGGUGUUCUGUUCAGGUGUUCUGGUGUUCUGUUCUGUUGUUCUGUUCAGGUGUUCUGUUCUGGUGUUCUGUUCAGGUGUUCUGUUCUGGUGUUCUGUUCAGGUGUUCUGUUCAGGAGUUCUGUUCUGGUGUUCUGUUCAGGUGUUCUCUGCAGGUGUUCUGUUCAGGUGUUCUGUUCAGGUGUUCUCUGCAGGUGUUCUGUUCAGGUGUUCUGUUCAGGAGUUCUGUUCAGGUGUUCUCUGCAGGUGUUCUGUUCAGGUGUUCUGUUCAGGUGUUCUGUUCAGGUGUUCUGUUCAGGAGUUCUGUUCAGGAGUUCUGUUCUGGUGUUCUGUUCAGGUGUUCUCUGCAGGUGUUCUGUUCAGGUGUUCUGUUCAGGAGUUCUGUUCAGGUGUUCUGUUCAGGUGUUCUGUUCUGGUGUUCUGUUCAGGUGUUCUGUUCUGGUGUUCUGUUCAGGUGUUCUCUGCAGGUGUUCUGUUCAGGUGUUCUGUUCAGGUGUUCUCUGCAGGUGUUCUGUUCAGGUGUUCUGUUCAGGAGUUCUGUUCUGGUGUUCUGUUCUGGUGUUCUGUUCAGGUGUUCUCUGCAGGUGUUCUGUUCAGGUGUUCUGUUCAGGUGUUCUGUUCUGGUGUUCUGUUCAGGUGUUCUGUUCUGUUGUUCUGUUCUGGUGUUCUGUUCAGGUGUUCUCUGCAGGUGUUCUGUUCAGGUGUUCUGUUCAGGUGUUCUGUUCAGGUGUUCUCUGCAGGAGUUCUGUUCAGGUGUUCUGUUCAGGAGUUCUGUUCUGGUGUUCUGUUCAGGUGUUCUGUUCAGGUGUUCUGUUCAGGUGUUCUCUGCAGGAGUUCUGUUCAGGUGUUCUGUUCAGGAGUUCUGUUCAGGUGUUCUGUUCUGGUGUUCUGUUCAGGUGUUCUGUUCUGGUGUUCUGUUCAGGAGUUCUGUUCAGGUGUUCUGUUCUGGUGUUCUGUUCAGGUGUUCUGUUCAGGUGUUCUGUUCAGGUGUUCUGUUCAGGAGUUCUGUUCAGGUGUUCUGUUCUGGUGUUCUGUUCUGGUGUUCUGUUCUGGUGUUCUGUUCAGGUGUUCUGUUCUGGUGUUCUGUUCAGGUGUUCUGUUCAGGUGUUCUGUUCUGGUGUUCUGUUCAGGUGUUCUGUUCAGGUGUUCUGUUCAGGAGUUCUGUUCAGGUGUUCUGUUCAGGAGUUCUGUUCUGGUGUUCUGUUCAGGUGUUCUGUUCAGGUGUUCUGUUCAGGUGUUCUGUUCAGGAGUUCUGUUCUGGUGUUCUGUUCUGGUGUUCUGUUCAGGUGUUCUGUUCAGGUGUUCUCUGCAGGAGUUCUGUUCAGGUGUUCUGUUCAGGAGUUCUGUUCAGGUGUUCUGUUCUGGUGUUCUGUUCAGGUGUUCUGUUCUGGUGUUCUGUUCAGGAGUUCUGUUCAGGUGUUCUGUUCUGGUGUUCUGUUCAGGAGUUCUGUUCAGGUGUUCUGUUCAGGUGUUCUGUUCUGGUGUUCUGUUCAGGUGUUCUGUUCAGGUGUUCUGUUCUGGUGUUCUGUUCUGGUGUUCUGUUCAGGAGUUCUGUUCAGGUGUUCUGUUCAGGUGUUCUGUUCUGGUGUUCUGUUCUGUUGUUCUGUUCAGGUGUUCUGUUCAGGUGUUCUCUGCAGGAGUUCUGUUCAGGUGUUCUGUUCAGGAGUUCUGUUCUGGUGUUCUGCUCUGGUGUUCUGUUCAGGAGUUCUGUUCAGGUGUUCUGUUCAGGUGUUCUGUUCUGGUGUUCUGUUCAGGUGUUCUGUUCAGGAGUUCUGUUCAGGUGUUCUGUUCAGGAGUUCUGUUCAGGUGUUCUGUUCAGGAGUUCUGUUCUGGUGUUCUGUUCUGGUGUUCUGUUCUGGUGUUCUGUUCAGGUGUUCUCUGCAGGAGUUCUGUUCAGGUGUUUUGUUCAGGAGUUCUGUUCUGGUGUUCUGUUCAGGUGUUCUCUGCAGGUGUUCUGUUCAGGUGUUCUGUUCAGGAGUUCUGUUCUGGUGUUCUGUUCUGGUGUUCUGUUCAGGUGUUCUGUUCUGGUGUUCUGUUCUGGUGUUCUGUUCAGGUGUUCUGUUCUGGUGUUCUGUUCAGGAGUUCUGUUCAGGUGUUCUGUUCUGUUGUUCUGUUCAGGUGUUCUGUUCAGGUGUUCUGUUCUGUGUUCUGUUCUGGUGUUCUGUUCUGGUGUUCUGUUCAGGAGUUCUGUUCAGGUGUUCUGUUCAGGUGUUCUGUUCUGGUGUUCUGUUCAGGAGUUCUGUUCAGGUGUUCUGUUCUGUUGUUCUGGUCAGGUGUUCUGUUCAGGAGUUCUGUUCAGGUGUUCUGUUCAGGUGUUCUGUUCUGGUGUUCUGUUCAGGAGUUCUGUUCAGGUGUUCUGUUCUGUUGUUCUGUUCAGGUGUUCUGUUCAGGUGUUCUCUGCAGGUGUUCUGUUCAGGUGUUCUGUUCUGGUGUCCGAUCUUCAUCAGGUGGAAACCCAAACGUUUGUUCCUCCGUUGUUCUCACUAUAAAGAUGUUAUUCUGAACAAGCGCUGGAAAACCCCUGAAGGGAUCACGUGA